UCUGGAGGAUGGAAGAGGAGAGACCAAACAAUCAUUCAGCUGCUUGUGAAACCCACUGUGAGACAAUACACAGGAACUUCUGUUAUUGUCAACCAGAUCUUGCUGUUAGGAUGACAGCCUUUAAGAGUUUGCCCGGUGUCGAUGGAGAAGGAAGCAGCUGCUGGAAGCGAGACAGGGUGUACUGGCAGCAGAUGAAGUGGCGUUCUGGAAAGGCGUCACUAUCGAUCUGAUGUCGCAUGAGGAAGAUUGCAGCUUGGAGGGGGUGUCGCGGUGGAUUGUGCGACCCCCAAGUUUCCACAGCCAGGAGCUCACCGACCUGUUGCCUGUUGACCUAGAGGCUAAUCCAAAGUACAAUGCUAUGCAUCACAGGCUUGGAGCUGGACAGAUACUUCAUCCAGCAGCCCAGUAUUUGAUGUGUUUUGUAAAUGAUUUGUAAAUAGUUUUUCUGAUAUGCCUUUUUGAAAAAUAAAAUGAAACUUUUAAUCAA